rnacentral:rRNA from 1 species
GACGAACGCUGGCGGCGUGCCUAAUACAUGCAAGUAGAACGCUGAAGAGAGGAGCUUGCUCUUCUUGGAUGAGUUGCGAACGGGUGAGUAACGCGUAGGUAACCUGCCUUGUAGCGGGGGAUAACUAUUGGAAACGAUAGCUAAUACCGCAUAACAAUGGAUGACACAUGUCAUUUAUUUGAAAGGGGCAAUUGCUCCACUACAAGAUGGACCUGCGUUGUAUUAGCUAGUAGGUGAGGUAAUGGCUCACCUAGGCGACGAUACAUAGCCGACCUGAGAGGGUGAUCGGCCACACUGGGACUGAGACACGGCCCAGACUCCUACGGGAGGCAGCAGUAGGGAAUCUUCGGCAAUGGGGGCAACCCUGACCGAGCAACGCCGCGUGAGUGAAGAAGGUUUUCGGAUCGUAGAGCUCUGUUGUAAGUCAAGAACGGGUGUGAGAGUGGAAAGUUCACACUGUGACGGUAGCUUACCAGAAAGGGACGGCUAACUACGUGCCAGCAGCCGCGGUAAUACGUAGGUCCCGAGCGUUGUCCGGAUUUAUUGGGCGUAAAGCGAGCGCAGGCGGUUUGAUAAGUCUGAAGUUAAAGGCUGUGGCUCAACCAUAGUUCGCUUUGGAAACUGUCAAACUUGAGUGCAGAAGGGGAGAGUGGAAUUCCAUGUGUAGCGGUGAAAUGCGUAGAUAUAUGGAGGAACACCGGUGGCGAAAGCGGCUCUCUGGUCUGUAACUGACGCUGAGGCUCGAAAGCGUGGGGAGCGAACAGGAUUAGAUACCCUGGUAGUCCACGCCGUAAACGAUGAGUGCUAGGUGUUGGAUCCUUUCCGGGAUUCAGUGCCGCAGCUAACGCAUUAAGCACUCCGCCUGGGGAGUACGACCGCAAGGUUGAAACUCAAAGGAAUUGACGGGGGCCCGCACAAGCGGUGGAGCAUGUGGUUUAAUUCGAAGCAACGCGAAGAACCUUACCAGGUCUUGACAUCCCGAUGCUAUUUCUAGAGAUAGAAAGUUACUUCGGUACAUCGGUGACAGGUGGUGCAUGGUUGUCGUCAGCUCGUGUCGUGAGAUGUUGGGUUAAGUCCCGCAACGAGCGCAACCCCUAUUGUUAGUUGCCAUCAUUCAGUUGGGCACUCUAGCGAGACUGCCGGUAAUAAACCGGAGGAAGGUGGGGAUGACGUCAAAUCAUCAUGCCCCUUAUGACCUGGGCUACACACGUGCUACAAUGGUUGGUACAACGAGUUGCGAGUCGGUGACGGCGAGCUAAUCUCUUAAAGCCAAUCUCAGUUCGGAUUGUAGGCUGCAACUCGCCUACAUGAAGUCGGAAUCGCUAGUAAUCGCGGAUCAGCACGCCGCGGUGAAUACGUUCCCGGGCCU